GAAUAUUAUCGAAUGGGCGCAGCCUGAUCCAGCCAUGCCGCGUGAGUGAUGAAGGCCUUAGGGUUGUAAAGCUCUUUCACCGGUGAAGAUAAUGACGGUAACCGGAGAAGAAGCCCCGGCUAACUUCGUGCCAGCAGCCGCGGUAAUAGAUAA
rnacentral:rRNA from 1 species